rnacentral:rRNA from 1 species
GCUGGCGGCAUGCCUUACACAUGCAAGUCGAACGGCAGCGGGCCCUUCGGGGUGCCGGCGAGUGGCGAACGGGUGAGUAAUGCAUCGGAACGUACCCGGGAGAGGGGGAUAACCGGCCGAAAGGCUGGCUAAUACCGCAUGAACUCGGAAGAGCAAAGCGGGGGACCUUCGGGCCUCGCGCUCUCGGAGCGGCCGAUGUCCGAUUAGGCUAGUUGGUGGGGUAAGGGCCCACCAAGGCGACGAUCGGUAGCGGGUCUGAGAGGACGAUCCGCCACACUGGGACUGAGACACGGCCCAGACUCCUACGGGAGGCAGCAGUGGGGAAUCUUGGACAAUGGGCGCAAGCCUGAUCCAGCAAUGCCGCGUGGGUGAAGAAGGCCUUCGGGUUGUAAAGCCCUUUCGGCGGGGAAGAAAUCGGUCAGGCGAAUAGUCUGGCUGGAUGACGGUACCCGCAGAAGAAGCACCGGCUAACUACGUGCCAGCAGCCGCGGUAAUACGUAGGGUGCGAGCGUUAAUCGGAAUUACUGGGCGUAAAGGGUGCGCAGGCGGCCCUGUAAGACCGGUGUGAAAUCCCCGGGCUCAACCUGGGAAUUGCGCUGGUGACUGCA